AAAGGCCCUUACUCUCCCACUAAAGACCAGUGGAAUCAUUCUGUUUCCUUUCAAUGCAAAUGUCUACUCUUUCUAUUAAGGCUACAAAAACGGACGUAUUACAAAGCACAGAAAGCGACAUUAGAUUUUUUCUGCUCCACCUGAAUAUUUUUUACAACCUUUCAAUUGUAACGGUGAAAUAUUCAUCCUUUAGUAAAAAAAAUUUAUGAUGUUGUUUUAUUUAUAUACUCUUAUACUUAUACAAAGCGAUUGCAAUUAUGUAUAUUCUUACAGCACCAAAUAAAAGCUAUUUACAUU